UGGCCAGGCACCAGUCCUCUGCCUCCUUCUGUGCCUGCCUGGCUGCCUCUACCUUGGGGCUACCGCCUAGCCCCCACCUCACCUACUGGCUCACUGAGACAGAACCAAACAUGAAAGGGAAGGUGAAGGCCUGGCCAUAGGGCGCAGGAAAAUGCAGAUGCUGACAAUAUGAUAGUGAAUACAAUGUGAAAAAACAAGCACACUUCUCACCCCCAUGGAGCUUUAUUCUGUUCAGCAGAAGGAGAAGGAAAUGUAAACAUACAAGGAGCAACUUUUUGGCACUCCCAUUUUGCAGAAGAGGAAACAAGCUGCCUGGGUCUGCUGAUUCCUGUCCUUGUGAGCUCACUGCCCCAUACUCCCAACCCUGUACACAAAUGGAGGUGCUCUUACAGAAGUUCUGAGCCUGAUUCUGCUGCUGCCUCUCCAGCUAACCUUAGGAUGUGUCCCUGUCGUUAGGUGAUGCAUGACUGUACUCUGACAUCCUCUCCAGCUUUCAUCUGUUUUUAUUUUUAUGAUGUGCUGAAGACAGGACAUUGUAUCUGCUCUUCCCUAUGUAAGUCUUGCCAUGCCCUUUGGCCAAAGGCAACUCAAAUAUGGACUUCCUACUGUCACCAUCAAGGUCACUACGAUCUAAGUGUUUUUUAGGGCUUGUGCAGAGAAGGAAGAAGAUGUCCCCUGCCUUCUGUGCUCCCCAUCAUGUAGGAGAGAAGACACAGGCUGAGCCCCGGGAGGACAGAUCUGAAAGGGUGGUUCCGGCCCAGCAGCAUGAACAUGGCCUGGGAACAUGUUAGACAUGCAGGUUCUCAGGCCCCACCCCACACCUGCUGGAUCAAAAACUCUGAUUUCUGCACUUGAGCAUACAUCACUCAAGUUUGAGAACCACUGCAUUAGAGAACAGAAACCCUCGACCAUAGCAUGCAGGAACAGCGAAGCCAUGUGGACACAUCCAGGUCUGAGGAAGUCAUUUUAGCCUGGAAAGGAAAAGAAGGAGGGCAUCAUCGGUGUGGGCCUGGGAGCCCCCACGCUCAGCACUCCUGGAAGUGCACAGACAGGGAGGUCUGGGGUCUGGAAAAACAACAGGAAUCUUGGGAAUUAUAAGGCUGAGAAGGAGGUGGGGAGGGGGCAACGUGCCUGGCUGCUGCUCAGGCCUCCUCACUGGCAGGGGGUCCCAGCAGCCUUGUUCCCCAGGCCCAUGCUGAACUUGCUAGUGAUGCUGGCAUUCCUAGCUGUGGUUUGGCACCAAGGUCCAGUGACCCCCCAGACCCAGACCAGGGCCAUUUCCCUAAUAGAGACCUAACUAGACGGCCAGAGUUUGGGGUGCUGGGACAUUGACUGUGUAAGGGCCCCGACCCACUACCCCAUCCACUGUCCUCCCUGCCCCCUCCCCAGGUGCCUGGGGCUUUCCCAGGAGUUGGAGCCACACUGAAGGGACAUAGAAGCCACAAUUCUUGCCCUCAGAGAGCCCAGCAAGCUGCUGGGGAGAUGAAUACUGAAGACCACCAGUUCCCAAGUCCUAAACCAUGUGCCAGACAUCGUGCUGAGCUCUUUAUGAACAUUAUAGGAUUAAAUGAGACAGUCACCCUGAAACAGAUACAAACCCAGAGCAGAGAAUGGUCAGCACAGGAGGAAUCUAAUUGGCAAGGUGUAUCACGGGCACCUGAGAGCCGGGCAGUCAAGAAGUUUCCCAAAGGGAAGGAGGCCCAUUGCUGACUUGGAGACAGAGAAUGUGGAGGCAACAAGUUCAUCUCUGUCUCUAUCUCUCUGUCUCUUCCUCUCUCUGUCUCUACCUCUCUGUCUCUUUCUUUCUAUCUUUCCUUCUUCCCAUACAAUAGACCACUCCAUAAAUGGGCAACCUCUCCUAUGCCAGACUAUGAUCCUGUCAAACCCCUAUUGAGUCCAGGCACAGUGGCUCAUGGCUGUAAUCUCAGCACUUUGGGAGGCCGAGGCAGGAGGAUCACCAGAGGUCAGGAGUUCGAGAUCAGCCUGGCCAACAUGGUGACACCAUCAAUAAAGAGAAACA